UAACUUAAAUAUAUAACACGAUUUACACUUUUGUUCAGUUUUAUGUAUAUUUAAAUUCUAACUUUGCUUGAACUUUUUAUAGGUUCAUAAUCCACUUAAUUAUGACCUAAAUGGCCAAUUUUUACGUGAUAUAGCUUGGGGACCUGAUGCUAAAGUCUGAAAGUUUUCUAAGUACUCUGUCUAUAGGUACAGAUUUCAUACAGAAGAGUUCUCUAAGGGCAAGAAAACCAACAAUAGUGGGGUUUGGGUGAAAGGUGAUGGCGAUGUUGAUUAUUAUAGUAGCGAGAUUUUAGAACUCAAUUACCAUGUUGGUUGGCCAAAGAAAAAGUUGGUUCUCUUUUGGUGUAAGUGGUAUGAUCCUACACCUAGGUUAGGUACAAAGGUGCACCCUCAGUACAAAAUAGUCGAAAUUAAGCGUACAAGGAAGUAUGGACUCUAUGAUCUAUCUGUCAUUGCACAAAACGCGAAACAAGUGUAUUACGUUCCUUAUACUUUGUGUAAGAAUAAAUCUGCAUGGCAGGUAGUUAUAAAAACAAAGCUCGUGGAUAGAGUUGAAGUAGAGGAUAGAUUGGAUGUAGCGUAUCAGAAUGACAUUUCAAGUGUUGAAGAAAGGGUGGAUGAUGAAUUAGCAGGUGAGUUGCAGCAUGGCGAAGGCUUAUAUGAAAAAUUUGAUCCUUCUGAACUUAGAUUGAAUGUUAAUGAUUAUGGAGAAAGAACAUUCGGGGCAAAUGACGAUGAAGAUCCAACUGAUGAAAAUGAAAUAAGCGAGAAAGAGUUACUUGAUGAAAAUGAAACAAGUGAUGAGGAAGAAUAGAUGAAUGAAUAUGAAUCAAGUGAUGAGGAAGAAUUGAUGAAUGACUAUGAAACAAGCGAUGAGGAUUGAGUUGUUAUUAAUAGUAGUGUGUAGUAACAGGGUCUUGAAUUCUAUUUUAGUUGCUGCUUUUUGCAUAUCCCUCUGUUGGAGUUCUUAUGGCAAUUGUCAAGCACUAUUGUAUUCAUGUAACUACUUAGAGCAGUGAAAACUAAUCUUUUGGAUGGUGGAAGGUCCUAUAUCCAUGUGACUAUUUUAUUCUAUUUCUCGUUUUGAUUGCCGCUUCUAGAGAUAUUUUUUAUGACUAUUGAACUGCUUGUAACCUUAGGAUUUUGGGGGUUGCCAAUUUGUCCAGAUGAUUUGCUGAUUGUUAAUAUGAAAAAAGGGGUUUUGCUUGGACUUAAUGCAGGUGUAAGAACUACAAUUAAACUAUAAUUCUAGCUAGUUGAUUUUGCCUUUAUGGAUGUUUUUUUUUUUGUGUGUUCUUCUUUUAGCUUUUUUGUGUUGAUUUGAUGAGGUUGAAGAACUUUCUAAGACAGCUUCCUCCAUAUGAUAAGAAGUAAUUGUUGCAGUAUGUUUCACUUCUGAUCUUCUGCAUACUACUACUUCCACAUACCAAAAAACAGCUGAAAGGAAGAACCAGUAAAAAUUUGAAGCAGUAAGCUUCAACUUUUUAACAUCUUCUUUUUAUGUACUCUAAUCACAAUAGGGGAAUGGGAGAGUGAAGGAAUAGUUUGGAUAGAAUUGCAACUAUUGUGUAGAAUAGUAUGGGCUCUUAAUAGUUGAUUCUUGAUAUGGGGUUCUUCUAAAUCAUAAAAGAUAAAAACUUUAUGUUUGUUUUCAUCUGAUCAUAAGAUUUUUUGUACAUGGAAGUGUGUCAAAUUUACUUUGUGUAGUCUCUUAAUGGCUAAUUCUUGAUAAGAGGUUCUUCUAAAUCAUAAAAAGAUUACAACUUUGUAUUUGUUUUUCAUAUGAGGUUCAUUAGAUAUAUAUAGAAAGAUGAGGUGAGUGUUUUGUUUAUGUUGUGGGAGUGGGAUUAUAAGUCUUAAAAAGCCUAAUUACAUAGACUUGCUAAAUUGGUAUUGGCUUUUGCAGCACUUUACACAAGCACCAACUUAUUUUAUCUAUGUCUGUUAAAUAGAGCGGUUAGUUGUUUUCAGAUUUGGUUUUUUCUUGUGUUUCUUUCUUUUCUCAGUUGUAUGCUUGAUCAAAAUGUUAUGAGAAGGGGGUUUGGUUUUACCAAUGGAAAAUUGACACGUUUCAAUUAUUUUUUAGUAGAGAGCUUACCAAUCCACAAAUACAUAAGAUCAGAGUAAAGGACUGCAAUGUGUGCUCUUGGAGUUUCUUGGAGCACUUAUUAGUCCAGUGGUUUUAAAACAUCAGAAAGUUUCAAACUUUGUUUUCUUACUUUUUCAAUUUUCAUCCUUAGACCUUGAGGUCUCUUCACUGAUUUCUACUUUACCAAACUCAUAGUUUUUCCUUUCUGUUGUCAUGACUAAAUCCUUUGUGUAGAAGAGAGUAUUGUAUUGCACUGCACAUAAAAAAUAAGUGGCAUGCUUGUGAGCAGGAAAUUUGUUCAUAUUUGAGAUGUUGCAUUUAUCAGUUUUGCAGGUAAAUAGAUGAUCUGAUUGCUACUUCCUAAGUAAGAAAAGGAGUUCUCUUUAUCAAUUCACAAACCUCAAGAACUGAUCAAGAUUUUUUUUUUCAUUCCAUUUUGGUGAAACUUAAUAUUAUUGGUGUUAAAUGCCAGUUGGUUUAAAUGUGUGACAGUUUGAUUCUUGAGGUUUAAUUUCCAUAUAUUAGCAACUCUGGUUCCAGCUCAUGUUUUUGGGUAAGUGUUAUGAAACUUUGUUAUUCACCUCCAAGAGUCUAUCAAGCAAUCCAGACAAAUCGUCUGUAUUAACUCAACUGAGCACCAUGUGAAUCAUGAAUUAAGUAAAGGGGUUAGUGUUACUGUGAAGCUUGAUCUCAAGCUCAGAUUUGGGAAGAAGUAGUAAUAGCUGGCUCCUAAAGGUGGUCUAAUAAAUGCUAGCUAUAAUGAAUAUAUGUUAGAUUUUGUAGACCGUUAACGCAAUUAGCAGGCUAGUUCUAGUUUGGUGUUGUUUAUGUUUGUGUCUAGUCUGUAAUUAACUGCCAUGGUGCUUUAAUAUUAGUAGUAGUAAUGUGUAAAUGAAACCUUGUCAUGAUCACUGAAAGACUCUAUAUUCUAGUGCUUCAUGCAAUAUGAGAAGCAAUACUGUGUUGAUUUUGUUACAAGGUUCAGAAGUAAAAAAAAGGUUUAUGUUAAAGGUAGUUACUAAGUUCUGGUGAAUCAAACAAACAUGACAAUGGAGAGUCUGUUAACAUUGUUUUCAAGCAAACAUGACUAUUCUUAAAUUUGGUUGUUCUUUCUUUUUCAGGUGGUUAGUAAAGAAAAUCAAUGGCAUCAAAAGGUAAUAUUAAUGGACGACGUAAGAAAAGUAAGAAAGGACCUGAUAAUAUUCUUGCUGGUCAAUAUCCACCACCACCAGCACCACCUGUUACCACAACUUUUUAGUCAGCUAAUACGAAUAUUCCUUCCCCUCCUAGAUCAGCUAUUUCACUACCAAAUUCAUUUUUCAUGCCUCCACCAUCUGACCAGUUACAGACCUCUUCAUCCCAAAAUAGUCUGCAUAGUAGCUCUUCAUAUGUGCCUUCGACAUCAUCCACACCAAGCCUUUCUGGAUUGAGAAUUGGAGGUCCUAACACACCAACAUCGCCAUCCAUUGAUAGUGCUAUAGAGUCUAAUGCUAAAGCAGGUGCUUCUCAAAAUCUGCAAUUUAAAGAGGUAUUAGAAUAUGACAAGUUUGGGAGGCUACGAAUCGUCCCUUAUUGUGAUGGAGUCAUGACUCACUUUGGUGAAGCAAAUGAUGGACUAUUCUUGGAUGUUUGACAUACUUUUCUGAAUAAGUUUUCAUCUGAUUCUUGGUUGUUGAGGUUGAGGUAAGUUAAAUCUUGUUUAGGGGUUCAUCCUUCAAUCUGCCAAAUUUUCCACCUUCUCCUUUUAAUUCCUUCUGGCACAUGUUUUGUAUCUCCGGGUGGCCAUUGCACUCCUACCUAUUGAGCCAAUGCAUCUCUAAAUGCAUCUGGUUGUCUGCUACCAGAUGGUUUAUGGUUCCUCUUAGUCUCAUGCAAAUCAUUUUGCUUAUACAUUUAUACAAAACAUUGCAGCAUGUAAUAGGUCUUUAUUGGCUAGCAACUUAAAGCAAAUUUCAACAUUUCUACUAUUUUCUUCUUGUUCCUCUUUUAUUUCAUUACAAUAGAAAAGUAUUUGUUUAUGAGUCUCCAGUUUAAUCCAUAGGGCUCUGGACUUCUGUUGAACUAUACCCUCUUCAAUGUGACUCUAUUUCUCCAAAUUAAGCAACUAGUCUCUCUCAUCUGGUGCUAAGAAAUCUGAUUAUUGAGUGGAUAAGAGAUGUUGAGUGACUUGCAACUGAUCUCUAAUUUGAUUCUCCUUGAUAGUUGAAUGCCUAAAAUGAUUAUUGUUAAGCAAUUUCAUAUGAGGCUUCACCCCCUUCAACUUGGGCCAAACAGUUCUUAUUCUGCUGUCAUGAGAGUUGAUAUUCCAAUGCCUUUUGAACUAACUCUCCAAACUCUUCAUGAGCAACCCACGUAUUAAAAAACCCGAAGGGAACCUUUGUUGGAAUAUAGGAAGUGUGAAAAUGUAGGAUCUUAAGUGAAUGGUCUGACAUAUGAGGCAGCUUAUAAUCAAUCAUUGGAAGCACUAGUGUAAUUAUGAAGUAUACUCCUUCCAGGAACUACAGAUUGUGCUAUAACUGCUGCUUUAUUGGAUUUAUAUCUAGUUUCUAUCAACCCUACCAACUUUAUAUGAUUCUCCUUAAUAUAAUUAAUUAAUUCUCUUUGCUUCUACAUUCUAUUGAAUCCUCGUACAUCCUAAGCUAGGCAAGACAUUAAUUUUUGUAUAAGGUCUCCCUCGCAUCAGGAGGAAGCUGAUCAACCAUCACAGUAUUAGUAGAUUGUAGGAUAUCAAACUCAUUCUUCAUAGUCAAGGAUGUAGUUUGUGCGUAAUUUUUCUUACCGCUAUAGAAAUCAGUAACUUGAUUACCUCUGGAUAUCACAGGAGUAAGACUACCAUCUCCAGCUAUAGCAUCACCAGAAUUAAGCUUGUUUGCAUGUGAUUUUGUUACAAUAGACUCAACUACAUUCUCAGGAGGAGGCACUGGUUCAUGUUGUUCUUGUACUUGUGGUUCUUCAAGCUUAGGAAACCAAGUAGGAAUCAGUUUGGGGGGCCUUUGUCUUUGCUGCUACACCUGCUUAGUUUUAGGAGGAGCAGGUUGAGGUUGUUUAGUCUUAGGACAUGAGUGACCCACCAUCAUACAAUCAUCACAAUUUUAUGGCUUCCAAUCAAAAUGGAUGGGCUGCUGAAAUUAUUUUGCAUCCCUGAUAGUGAUCUCAAUUGGAGUGGUUUAGUAAUAUCAAUCUUUAUGAAUAUUCUACCAUGAGAAAUCCUAGUUUUCAUAAUAGUACACUCAUCAGAAAAAACCUACUACUAGAGCCAUCCUGUCCUAUUACCCCCCAAGCAGCCUGUAAAAACCCACUACUAGAACCAUCAGGGCUGGGCUCUUAUUACUUCAACUAGGUACUAAUGCACGGGCCCAAUAUUGGGACAUAUUUCUUAGCUAAACGGCGUAUAUUUACAUGUUGAUAUUAUAUGGUUGACAAGUGUUAUAUUGUUUACAUCUAUGACUACAUUAUUUAUGUCACAUAUCUACAUUGCAAUACUGAAAAGAUGAAUUUAUAUUCAACAAUUAAAUAUUCACAUCAAUCAACAAUCCAAGACAUGAUCAAAACAUGCUAGAGAGCAAGCAACACGCAUAGAUGUUCUCCCUUGUCAGAAUAAAACAUGAUAAAACAUGAUAAAGUU